rnacentral:rRNA from 1 species
CCUACGGGAGGCAGCAGUGAGGAAUAUUGGUCAAUGGACGAGAGUCUGAACCAGCCAAGUAGCGUGAAGGAUGACUGCCCUAUGGGUGGUAAACUUCUUUUAUAAAGGAAUAAAACGAGGCACGUGUGCCUUUUUGCAUGUACUUUAUGAAUAAGGAUCGGCUAACUCCGUGCCAGCAGCCGCGGUAAUACGGAGGAUCCGAGCGUUAUCCGGAUUUGUUGGGUUUAAAGGGAGCGUAGAUGGGUUGUUAAGUCAGUUGUGAAAGUUUGCGGCUCAACCGUAAAAUUGCAAUUGAUACUGGCAGUCUUGAGUACAGUUGAGGUAGGCGGAAUUCGUGGUGUAGCGGUGAAAUGCUUAGAUAUCACGAAGAACCCCGAUUGCGAAGGCAGCUUACUAAACUGUGACUGACAUUGAUGCUCGAAAGUGUGGGUAUCAAACAGGAUUAGAUACCCCGGUAGUC